GGAGUCAGGAAUAGACACAGGAAAAUCUAGUUAAGAGAUAACCAUGUGGAAGGGCAUUCAUGAGGAACAAGGUAUUUAUGAGGAAUAAGAAUGUCAUGAGAAACUGGAGUUUGCAGCUGUGCACUAAAAAUAAUCAGUAACCUUUAUGAUCACUUAUUGCUUAUCUGGCAUCUACAUUGUGAUUGACACAUGAUUUGUCUACUUGUCUUUCUCUUACACUGACGUAAACCAGAGCCUGGAAAAUGCAUAUAAUCAAAGACUUUGAGAAAUAAAGUUGUUGUUGGAGCACUAACUCCUCAACCCUCCUGACCCUGCUUUCCUGUCUUCUUUUUUUCUUGCGCACCCCCCACUCAGGUUGGAAUACUCUUGCUGGACAAGAGUUCCCGGUUAUUAGCGUCACUACUGCGUAAGGUGCCUUGAUAUUUAGGUUCUGUCCCAGAGUUAGCUUAUCCGCUUCUUGUGCUAGCAGAGCAGUUGCUGCCAGGGCCCCUAAGCAUGGGGGCCAUCCUUUGGAAACUCCAUCCAGCUGCUUGGAGAGACUAAGAUGAUAUGAUCAGAUCGAAACUACUGCGUUUAAAGUGAUCUUGCUGCUGAUCUCUGUGGGCUCUCAACCUGAUGAUGUGCAUUCAGUACAACAUAGAGGAAAGAAGCAAGGUCAAUGCCUUUUAAACAAUCAUCAGAAAAGCUUCAGCCAAACUUCCUGUGAACUUCCUUUAAUCACACAUCCUUUGGACUCAUUAAGUCUUAUCUGUGACAAAAGAUGAAGCCCAACAUUUCCUCUCCAGCUGAAGCUUUGGCUCAAGACUGUCCAAAGGACUGUUAACUCUUGAGCCUGGGCCAAGCUGAAGACUCGGCAGCAAUCAAAGCCAUGGCAAGGACAGAGAGCUGAGGAGUUCCUGGGUCACCAGGGCUUUCUCCAGCAGGAAGCUGGAGCAGCAGUAAUGACAUGGAUGCAGGAUUCAUGGGGGGUGGGGAGACUGGCCCAGAGCUGUGCAUAAGACAGAAAUUGUGUCACAAGCACUUGUAGGGCUGGGCUCACCUCUGGCAGCUGCUGCUGAGAUACA
rnacentral:lncRNA from 1 species